rnacentral:rRNA from 1 species
CAGCAGCCGCGGGAAUACGAAGGGGGCUAGCGUUGUUCGGAAUUACUGGGCGUAAAGCGCACGUAGGCGGACAUUUAAGUCAGGGGUGAAAUCCCGGGGCUCAACCCCGGAACUGCCUUUGAUACUGGGUGUCUAGAGUAUGGAAGAGGUGAGUGGAAUUCCGAGUGUAGAGGUGAAAUUCGUAGAUAUUCGGAGGAACACCAGUGGCGAAGGCGGCUCACUGGUCCAUUACUGACGCUGAGGUGCGAAAGCGUGGGGAGCAAACAGGAUUAGAUACCCCGGUAGUCCCUGUCUCUUAUAA